AGGAGCAUUUCACUACUUGCUACCAUUGCAGCCGGACGCAGAAUUCGUAUUAUCUUUGGUAAAUUCAAGAAUAUACUUCUAAUAAAUUUCUUUAAAUUUAUAUUUUACUUAGGAUAAACGGUGUGUCUUACAAUAUUUUAGGAUUGUCUCCUAGCAACAGAAAUUAUAUCUGUCUUCAAUAUCUUUUUAAAGCAAUACAUCUUUUUACAGAUAUCCUAAAGCCAGACUGAUUGUUCACUUUGUAAUCAACCAUGAAACUGAUAUUAUAUUGUGCUGUUAUAUUCUUAGCAUGUGCUUUAACCUGUCUAACAGGACCUGAGAGUGUUGCAAAUGCCAAGCACAUUCCUGGAUGUGCUUCAAACACAGAGUGUCCACACGGAAGAAGAAUUUCUAGGCUGCCUGCAAUGAAACCGGCGCAUAUCUUGCAGAAAUCCAGAGUCAACCAGAACUAGAUUUUUUGGUAACGAUAACUGAUUUGGGUAAGUAAGACAGUCUAAUUGCUGUUUUAAAUAGUAUUAGCUGUCAUUUGGUUGGGAACGUAUUAAAAAUGACUCAGUGAGGGUUGUUUGUGUAUGUGGUGGGAGAUAAAUAAGUUUUUACUGUUCAUUUGGGAUAUGUAGAGUGUAUCUCAUUUACUGAGCCUUGUUUGAUCUGCAGAUGUAUAUAAAAUAUAAAAAGUCUAGGUUUUGAAUACUGACAGAAAUAAAAAUUGGUUCUGACAAAUGACGUUGUGUUUACCUCGCUUAGUAAUCCUUGGUUUUAACCCACCUGAGCGUAAAGUGCUCGAGGUAAGGUUAUUUUGACUCUCUACCAUAAGUGUAACCUGUUGGAGUUGUGAAACUCCAGCGAACACCUUCAUCCAUUAUGACAUUCUCUUGAUGAUAUAAAUUGUAGAAUGUACACUUUUUAUUAAAAGCAAGAAUCAAUAACAUAGUGUAGUAAUAGAAAAAUAUGAAAACAGUCAUUCUCAUAAUUACUGCAAUAAUGAUAAGCAUUACCAUUAUAUUUUUGUAUAUUGAGCACAAACAAUAACAUAGUGUAGUAAUAGAAAAAUAUGAAACAAGUCGAGUGUAGUGAUACCUAAAUUUGAUUUAGAAGUAAAAUAUCUGCUUUCUCAUAAUUACUGCAAUAAUGAUAAGCAUUACGAUUAUAUUUUUGUAUAUUUUAUAAUUAUUAUCUGAUUGAAUUUUGAAGAGGACAUUUUUUGGAUUGGACUGAACGAUAGGAAGACUGAGGGCGAAUUUGUUUGGCAAAAAUCAGGGGACCCACUGUCUUUCAUCAAUCCGAAUUAUUAUUUUUAUGCCUACAUGGGUAAUUACGACUGUGUUUCCACCGUCGAAUACUACUACAUAAACCUCUACUCUAGCCGUGUGUACUACCAUAGUUGGUACGAUGACGAUUGUAACAACAAAUUUUUAUAUAUCUGUGAAAAAGAAUCUAUGUGUGAGUCCUAGAAAUGUUUAAACCUUGCUAAUUAGUUUUGAUAGGUAACUUGUAUUUGAUCAUGUCAGGCCCAUCAGUUGUUUCUGAAGGUGGUCAAAAUAACUAUCUGACUCAACAGAAUCAUAUGCAGUACAUGUAUAUAUUCAUACAGACUGUUUAAAACAUUGUUUCAUACUUUUAUUUUAAUAUUAGAUUUGUGCUAAAAUUGCAAAUUAUACAAGUGAAACAUAAUGUUAUGUGAAAUCCUAAAAUCAUGUACAUGUAUGUUUAUCAUAAAUACAUCAAGAAAUAACUUUUGAAAUGGGUUCUAACCAUUUUCAUUACAGAUUAGCAGCUGAAGAUGUUAACCUUGAAAGACGAAAACAGGAAAAUUUGAAAGAAUUCAAUAUGUCAGUGGACUAAAAAAAUCUUCUGUCAUUUUGUCAAUGGACUAAACAUCUUUGUUGAAAGUUACUAUGUAUUCUUUUUAAUUUAGAAAAAAAUAAUUCAGUUCUUUAUUCCAUAUUCUCAAUAAUAAAAGCAUUAAAUAAUAAAAAUGAUUGCUAUUUGCUUUGAAUAAAAAUGAUGUUACUGUAGAUAAAUAAAAAAGGAAAGAGACAAAUAUUUACUUUGCUUGAACACAUGUCAGUCAAGGUUCAAAUGUUGACCAUUAUUUUUUGGAGACCAGUGUGAGCCCCGAGCAAGUUAGUCGAGCCAGAUCAAACCAUGUAUAUGGCAAUCAACUCUUAUUGAAUUCAGUAUGUCAGUCAGUCAAGCCAGAUUGAACAAUGUUUGACAAUUAACUCGUAUUGAAUCCAAUAUGUCAGUCAAUCUACAUUGAACCAUGUGUGACAUUCAACUCGUAUUGAAUUCAUUAUGUCAGUCAAGCCAGACUGGAACAUGUAUGUCAAUAAACUCAUAUCGAAUUCAAUAUGUCAGUCAAUCCACAUUUAACCAUCUAUGACAAUAAACUCUUAUUGAAUCCAGUAUGUCAGUCAAGCCAUAUUGAACCAUGUAUGACAAUUAACUUGUAUUUAAUUCAUUAUGUCUGUCAAUCCACAUUAAACCAUGUAUGAAUAUCAACUCCUAUUCAAUCCAAUAUGUCAGUCAAUCCACGCUGAACAAUGUAUGACAAUCAACUCUUACUGAAUUCAGUAUGUCAGUCAAGCCAUAUUGAACAAUGUAUGACAAUUAACUUUCAUUGAAUUCAUUAUGUCAGUCAAUCCACAUUCAACUAUGUAUGGCAUUCAACUCUUAUAGAAUUCAGUGUGUCAGUCAAUCCACAAUGAACCAUGUGUGACAAUUAACACGCAUUGAAUUCAUUAUGUCAGUCAAGCCAGAUUAAACCAUGUAUGACAAUAAACUCGUAUUGAAUCGAGUAUGUCAGUCAAUUCACAUUGAGCCAUGUAUGACAAUAAACUCUUAUUGAAUCUAGUAUGUCAGUCAAGCAAGAUUGAACCAUGUAUGGCAAUCAACUCUUAUUGACUCCAGUAUGUCUGUCAAUGCACAUUGAACCAUGUAUGACAAUCUCCUUGUAUUGAAUUCAGUAUGUCAGUCAAGCCAGAUUGAACCAUGUGUGGCAAUUAACUCAUAUUGAAAUCAGUAUGUGUGCAGUCAAGCGAGAUUGAUCCAUGUUGAGAAUCAACUCGUAUUGAAUUCAGUAUGUCAGUCAAGCAAUAUUGAACCAUGUAUGGCAAGUAACUCGUAUUGAAUUCAUUAUAUCUGUCAAUCCACAUUGAACCAUGUGUGACAAUCAGCUAAUAUUGAAUUCAGUAUGUUAUUACUGACGAGCAAGACUGAACCGUGAAUGAAAAUCUACUCUUAUUGAAUUCAGUGUGUCAGUCAAGCCAUAUUGAACCAUGCAUGGCAAUAAACUCGUACUGAAUCAACUAUGUCAGUCAAUCCGCACCGAACCAUGUAUCAUAAAAUAUAAACUCAUUGAAUCCAGUAUGUCAGUCAAUCCACAUUGAACCAUGUAUGUCAAUAAACUCAUAUUGAAUACAGUAUGUCAGUCAAUCCACAUUUAACCAUAUAUGACAAUCAACUCAUAUUGAAUGCAGUAAGUCAGUCAAGCAAGAUUGAACCAUGUAUGACAAUCAACUCUUAUUUAAUCCAGUAUGUCAGUAAAGCCAGAUUAAACCAUGUAUGCCAAUGAACUCGUAUUUAAUUCAUUAUGUCAGGCAAUCCACAUUGAACCUUGUAUGUUAAUCAACUCGUAUUGAACAACUGAAACAUAUAUUACAAUCAACUCUUAUUGAAUACAUUAUUGUCAGUCUAGCCAGACUGAACCAUUUAUGACAAUCAACUCUUAUUGAAUCUAGUGUGUCAGUCAAGCCAAAUUGAACCAUGCUGACAAUCAACUAUUAUUGAAUCUAGUGUGUCAGUCAAGCCAAAUUGAACCAUGCUGACAAUCAAGUCGUAUUGAAUCCAGUAUGCUAGUCAAUCCACAUUAAACCAUGUAUGACAAUGAACUCACAAUGAAUUCUGUAAUCUAAAGAGUUAAGGCAAAAUAGAGAAAUUUUACCGCAUAUAACUCAGUAUUUUAAAGAUAUCUAACUCUCCCCCUUCUGUUUCAGAAGUAAAUGUACUUUGAGCAGCAA
rnacentral:lncRNA from 1 species